AGUGAACGCUGGCGGUAGGCCUAACACAUGCAAGUCGAACGGCAGCACAGUAAGAGCUUGCUCUUACGGGUGGCGAGUGGCGGACGGGUGAGGAAUACAUCGGAAUCUACUUUUUCGUGGGGGAUAACGUAGGGAAACUUACGCUAAUACCGCAUACGACCUACGGGUGAAAGCAGGGGAUCUUCGGACCUUGCGCGAUUGAAUGAGCCGAUGUCGGAUUAGCUAGUUGGCGGGGUAAAGGCCCACCAAGGCGACGAUCCGUAGCUGGUCUGAGAGGAUGAUCAGCCAAACUGGAAAGGAGACACGGUCCAGACUCCUACGGGAGGAAGCAGUGGGGAAUAUUGGACAAGGGGCGCAAGCCUGAUCCAGCCAUACCGCGUGGGUGAAGAAGGCCUUCGGGUUGUAAAGCCCUUUUGUUGGGAAAGAAAAGCAGCAGGUUAAUACCCCGCUGUUCUGACGGUACCCAAAGAAUAAGCACCGGCUAACUUCGUG
rnacentral:rRNA from 1 species